rnacentral:lncRNA from 1 species
AUGCACCUGGAUCCCCAGCAACGAGAAGCUAAUUGGGAUGCUAUGGAGGUUGGAAAGGUGAGCCUUGCAUCAAAGGAAGAAAACAGUAACUCAUUUAAUCCUCUAAGUUUGCCGGAAGGCGCUCUCAGACAGCUCUCCCAGGAGCCAAUGCUAGAGUUCCGACAGGGCAGAAUCAGGCUGCAGGCAGGCAGGCAGCUUUAUCUGGCCUCAAAAUCACAAGCUUUCUGUUACCCUGAACGGUUCCCAACAAGAAGGCAAAAAUGACCAAAACACUGAGAGCUUCCCAAGGGCGGCAGUCUCCUCCACGUGACACUUCUGGCUCCGUUUCCUGCCCUGAAGCACCCUUCACACCCAGGACCUCAAACCUCCACGUUCCCUCAAAACCUACCUCUUGGGCUACAUUCUCAAAGCAAGGGCCACUGCCUAGGACACCCAAUUCUCUGUGGGAAGUUGGCAGAGGAGAGGAUAGAACUAUCAUUUCCUCUGAGAAGCAAAGAGAUUGAUCUCUCCUCCAUCCUCUGCGACUCUCAAGAGAAAGAAAAGAAAGCAAAAUACAACCAUUGGCAUGGGCCAGCCUAUAACUAAUUCAACAAGGACAGUGCUGCAAACGUCCUGCUAACCAGACUUCUUUCCCUCGCUCAGCAGCCUGACCAGUGUCAGAAAUCUCACCAAGCAGACAUGCAUUUAUUUCGUCUCACGCCCAGCCUCCAAGCAACCGCCUCCAGGACACAAAUGCUCCUGAAAAGGACUGCACAGCAAAGGGACAAACAGUGGGCUCUGCAUCCAACGCCUGAGACCCAUCAUCACACUGGACCUUGCUGAAGUCAUUUAACUCCAGAAUCUCCAUGAAGGGAGGCUACACAAGCUAGCUUGGGGGGGCAUGAAGAGCAGAUAACACAUGGAAGGACCCUGCAGCACAGCCAGCGGCUCAGCAGAAAGUAGGCAGGUGUUAGUGGAUGCUGACUGGCCAUCCCAGUUCCAAUAAAUCAAGCUGAAAGCUGGAGUCCCCAACAGAAGGUUCCAGAGCACUGGCCCCCAGAAAAAGGAAUGGAGCUGUGAGAUAUGGAGUAAUGCAGGAGCAGAGCGUACCUCGGAAGUUAGGAACUGCUAACCUAGACGAACUGAACCUGCCAACUUUGCCGAGAGCAGCGGUUUUCAAUGUAUGGCCAGACCAGCAGCAUCAGCAUCAUCUGGGAUCUCGUAGAGACUCCUCAGGCCCAGCCCCAGACCCACCUGGUCAGAAAUCUGGGCUUUCCUAAGCCUUCCAGGGGAUUCUGAGGCUGGCUAAUAUUUGAGAACCAUUAGCCAG